ACACCGGCAGCUCGAGUGGUAGCCAGUUUUAUUGGGCCUAAAGCGUCCGUAGCCGGCUUAUUAAGUCUUUGGUGAAAUCCUGUAGCUUAACUAUGGGAAUUGCUUGAGAUACUAGUAGGCUUGAGGUCGGGAGAGGUUAGCGGUACUCCCAGGGUAGGGGUGAAAUCCUGUAAUCCUGGGAGGACCACCUGUGGCGAAGGCGGCUAACUGGAACGAUCCUGACGGUGAGGGACGAAAGCCAGGGGCGCGAACCGGAUUAGAUACCCGGGUAGUCCUGGCUGUAAACGAUGUGGACUUAGUGUUGGAAUGGCUUUGAGCUAUUUCAGUGCCGAAGGGAAGCUGUUAAGUCCACCGCCUGGGAAGUACGGUCGCAAGACUGAA
rnacentral:rRNA from 1 species